ensembl:rRNA 5S_rRNA 5S ribosomal RNA
UGCCACCGCCAUAUUACCCUGCAGUCAAAGACCAGUUACUCACUGAAGCUUAGCAGGGCUGAGCCUGGUCAGUACCUGGAUGGGAGACCACAUGGGAAAACUAGGUUGCUGUGAGAA